AUUAUGGAGAAAACGCUGAGCAAAAGGAGUCAAGAGCAGAGAAAGUUCCAUGCACUUAGCUGCCUUGCCCGGGACUCAGCCAUACCACCUCAGGCUCCUGGACUGGCCCGGCUGCUACUCCUCGGUUCACCCUUUCCUCACUGGACACUGAGUUGCCUUCCUCUCAGGAGGACACCAGGGAGGUCAUCGUGAGGUUUAUUAUGCUCCUGGCUCCCCUUCCUCUGCAACUUCACAGCCCAGUUUCCAUGUGGGAAAGGACCCUGGGGAUUGGCUGAUUCAAGCCCUUCAUUCCACUGCAAGGAAACCAAGGUCCAGUGACUUGACCAGGGUCCCACUGCAGGUCAGAAGCCCCACCAGAACCACACUGGCCUCUGAGAUGCUUCUCACCCUUUCAUGCUGCCUCCCUGGAAUUUGGCCUUCUCGUCCUGAAACCAACUGCCCUGUAGACUUCUGCAUGACGUGGGGCCCUGCUACCCAAGCCAUGCUUUGGUUUUCAAGCCUGUCUUAAGAUACGCCUCAACAGUAACCCUACGAUUUGCCUUUGCCUGUCCGAAGCCCAUGCCAUCACCUCCCCAAAGGACUGGGAUUUGCAAUUUUGUGCUGCCCUCUAGUGUCGGACUGCGGGAACAGACCCUGGCCUUAGGCAGCGAGAGUGAGGGACAAUUUUAGAGACAAUAGUGGACCUAGCUUCCUGAUCUCAGUGCUUCACUUAAGGGGAAAAGGGACCCAACUUCCUGAGUGUUUACUAUGUGCUGGGGACGGGGUGCAGUGGUUUAUUUCAUUCUUAUUUAAUCUUCCCAGAUGGUAGUAUCUUUGUUUUAUAGACAGGAGCCUGAGGCUUAGAGAUUCAAAAAAAAAAAAAAAAAAAAGACAA